UUAAGUGACUAAGCGUACACGGUGGAUGCCUAGGCAGUCAGAGGCGAUGAAGGGCGUGCUAAUCUGCGAAAAGCGUCGGUAAGGUGAUAUGAACCGUUAUAACCGGCGAUACCCGAAUGGGGAAACCCAGUGCAAUUCGUUGCACUAUCGUUAAGUGAAUACAUAGCUUAACGAGGCGAACCGGGGGAACUGAAACAUCUAAGUACCCCGAGGAAAAGAAAUCAACCGAGAUUCCCCCAGUAGCGGCGAGCGAACGGGGAGGAGCCCAGAACCUGAAUCAGUUCUUGUGUUAGUGGAAGCGUCUGGAAAGUCGCGCAGUAAAGGGUGAUAGCCCCGUACACUAAAAUGCAUUAACUGUGAGUUCGAUGAGUAGGGCGGGACACGUGACAUCCUGUCUGAAUAUGGGGGGACCAUCCUCCAAGGCUAAAUACUCCUGACUGACCGAUAGUGAACCAGUACCGUGAGGGAAAGGCGAAAAGAACCCCGGCGAGGGGAGUGAAAUAGAACCUGAAACCGUGUACGUACAAGCAGUGGGAGCACCUUCGUGGUGUGACUGCGUACCUUUUGUAUAAUGGGUCAGCGACUUAUAUUUUGUAGCAAGGUUAACCGUAUAGGGGAGCCGUAGGGAAACCGAGUCUUAACUGGGCGAAUAGUUGCAAGGUAUAGACCCGAAACCCGGUGAUCUAGCCAUGGGCAGGUUGAAGGUUGGGUAACACUAACUGGAGGACCGAACCGACUAAUGUUGAAAAAUUAGCGGAUGACUUGUGGCUGGGGGUGAAAGGCCAAUCAAACCGGGAGAUAGCUGGUUCUCCCCGAAAGCUAUUUAGGUAGCGCCUCGUGAACUCAUCUUCGGGGGUAGAGCACUGUUUCGGCUAGGGGGCCAUCCCGGCUUACCAAACCGAUGCAAACUCCGAAUACCGAAGAAUGUUAUCACGGGAGACACACGGCGGGUGCUAACGUCCGUCGUGAAGAGGGAAACAACCCAGACCGCCAGCUAAGGUCCCAAAGUCAUGGUUAAGUGGGAAACGAUGUGGGAAGGCAUAGACAGCCAGGAUGUUGGCUUAGAAGCAGCCAUCAUUUAAAGAAAGCGUAAUAGCUCACUGGUCGAGUCGGCCUGCGCGGAAGAUGUAACGGGGCUAAACCAUGCACCGAAGCUGCGGCAGCGACGCUCAGGCGUUGUUGGGUAGGGGAGCGUUCUGUAAGCCGUUGAAGGUGGCCUGUGAGGGUUGCUGGAGGUAUCAGAAGUGCGAAUGCUGACAUAAGUAACGAUAAAGCGGGUGAAAAGCCCGCUCGCCGGAAGACCAAGGGUUCCUGUCCAACGUUAAUCGGGGCAGGGUGAGUCGACCCCUAAGGCGAGGCCGAAAGGCGUAGUCGAUGGGAAACAGGUUAAUAUUCCUGUACUCGGUGUUACUGCGAAGGGGGGACGGAGAAGGCUAGGCUAGCCGGGCGACGGUUGUCCCGGUUUAAGCGUGUAGGGGGAGUGACCCGGUAAAUCCGGUUGCUUAUNGCGGAUGGAGCUGAAGCCAGUCGCAGAUACCAGCUGGCUGCAACUGUUUAAUAAAAACACAGCACUGUGCAAACACGAAAGUGGACGUAUACGGUGUGACGCCUGCCCGGUGCUGGAAGGUUAAUUGAUGGGGUCAGCCGCAAGGCGAAGCUCUUGAUCGAAGCCCCAGUAAACGGCGGCCGUAACUAUAACGGUCCUAAGGUAGCGAAAUUCCUUGUCGGGUAAGUUCCGACCUGCACGAAUGGCGUAAUGAUGGCCAGGCUGUCUCCACCCGAGACUCAGUGAAAUUGAACUCGCUGUGAAGAUGCAGUGUACCCGCGGCAAGACGGAAAGACCCCGUGAACCUUUACUAUAGCUUGACACUGAACAUUGAGCCUUGAUGUGUAGGAUAGGUGGGAGGCUUUGAAGCGUGGACGCCAGUCUGCGUGGAGCCAACCUUGAAAUACCACCCUUUAAUGUUUGAUGUUCUAACUCGGCCCCNGGGGUGAGGACAGUGUCUGGUGGGUAGUUUGACUGGGGCGGUCUCCUCCCAAAGAGUAACGGAGGAGCACGAAGGUUAGCUAAUCACGGUCGGACAUCGUGAGGUUAGUGCAAAGGCAUAAGCUAGCUUGACUGCGAGAGUGACGGCUCGAGCAGGUACGAAAGUAGGUCUUAGUGAUCCGGUGGUUCUGAAUGGAAGGGCCAUCGCUCAACGGAUAAAAGGUACUCCGGGGAUAACAGGCUGAUACCGCCCAAGAGUUCAUAUCGACGGCGGUGUUUGGCACCUCGAUGUCGGCUCAUCACAUCCUGGGGCUGAAGUAGGUCCCAAGGGUAUGGCUGUUCGCCAUUUAAAGUGGUACGCGAGCUGGGUUUAGAACGUCGUGAGACAGUUCGGUCCCUAUCUGCCGUGGGCGUUGGAAGAUUGAGAGGGGUUGCUCCUAGUACGAGAGGACCGGAGUGAACGCACCACUGGUGUUCGGGUUGUCAUGCCAAUGGCACUGCCCGGUAGCUAAGUGCGGAAAAGAUAAGCGCUGAAAGCAUCUAAGCGCGAAACUUGCCUCGAGAUGAGUCUUCCCUGGGCCUUUAAGGCCCCUGAAGGAACGUUUAAGACUAAGACGUUGAUAGGCUGGGUGUGUAAGUGCAGCGAUGCAUUGAGCUAACCAGUACUAAUGAUCCGUGAGGCUUAACCUU
rnacentral:rRNA from 1 species